rnacentral:rRNA from 1 species
UACAGAGGGUGCAAGCGUUAAUCGGAGUUACUGGGCGUAAAGGGCGCGUAGGCGGUCUUAUAAGUUGGUUGUGAGAUCCCCGGGCUUAACCUGGGAACUGCAACCAAAACUGUAAGACUGGAGUACUGUAGAGGGUAGUGGAAUUCCUGGUGUAGCGGUGAAAUGCGCAGAUAUCAGGAGGAACACCGGUGGCGAAGGCGGGUCUCUGGGCCGAUACUGACACUGAGGAGCGAAAGCGUGGGGAGCGAACAGG